CAGCCGCCACGGGAAUACGUAGGGUGCAAGCGUUAAUCGGAAUUACUGGGCGUAAAGCGUGCGCAGGCGGUUCGCUAAGACAGAUGUGAAAUCCCCGGGCUUAACCUGGGAACUGCGCUUGUGACUGCACAGCUAGAGUAUGGCAGAGGGGGGUGGAAUUCCACGUGUAGCAGUGAAAUGCGUAGAGAUGUGGAGGAACACCGAUGGCGAAGGCAGCCCCCUGGGCCAAUACUGACGCUCAUGCACGAAAGCGUGGGGAGCAAACAGGAUUAGAUACCCCUGUAGUCCCUGUCUCUUAUAC
rnacentral:rRNA from 1 species